rnacentral:rRNA from 1 species
UACGAAGGGGGCUAGCGUUGCUCGGAAUCACUGGGCGUAAAGGGCGCGUAGGCGGAUCUUUAAGUCAGGUGUGAAAGCCUGAGGCUCAACCUCAGAAUUGCCUUUGAUACUGAAGAUCUUGAGACCAGAAGAGGUUAGUGGAACUGCGAGUGUAGAGGUGAAAUUCGUAGAUAUUCGCAAGAACACCAGUGGCGAAGGCGGCUAACUGGUCCGGUUCUGACGCUGAGGCGCGAAAGCGUGGGGAGCAAACAGG